GACGUAGGAGGCGAGCGUUAUCCGGAUUCACUGGGCGUAAAGCGCAUGUAGGCGGUUGCACAAGUCCGUUGUUAAAGCCCCUGGCUCAACUGGGGGAGGUCAAUGGAGACUGUGCGACUUGAGGGCAAUAGAGGCACGUGGAACUCCCGGUGUAGCGGUGGAAUGCGUAGAGAUCGGGAAGAACACCAGUGGCGAAGGCGACGAGCUGGGUUGCACCUGACGCUGAGAUGCGAAAGUGUGGGGAGCAAACGGG
rnacentral:rRNA from 1 species